AUGUGGUUUGGGCUUGGGCCGGAGUUGUGCUGCCGGCAGGCCCAGCCCUCCCUCUCCCCAUGGAGGCAUGUCGAGCCUGGCUUUGGGCCCGUCUGCGCGCGCCUUUCGGGUUAUCGCUUCUCGGCCUUUUGGCUAAGAUCAAGUGUAGUAUCUGUUCUUAUCAGUUUAAUAUCUGAUACGUCCCCUAUCUGGGGACCAUAUAUUAAAUGGAUUUUUGGAACAGGGAGAUGGAAGAAGAGCUUGCUCUGUCCACUCCACGCAUCGACCUGGUAUUGCAGUACCUCCAGGACCGGUGCACUUCUCUUACUCAGUUUGAAAAAGCAGAAAAAGAAGCAGCAAACGAGCUGUGGGGAAAUGAAAAGCCCAGCAAGCAAAGUUUGGGAGGACAAGCAGUGCAGGCGACAGAGAGCCGUGGAGCAAGGAGGAAGCCGACGGUGGUGCACAAUGCAGCAUGGCAGGCCAGCAGAAGCACAAGAGAGGCAGGCAGGCAGGCAGGCAGGCAGGCAGGCAGGCAGGCAGGCAGGCAGGCAGGCAGGCAGGCAGGCAGGCAGGCACAUUUGGUAG
rnacentral:snRNA from 1 species